AUUGAACGCUGGCGGCAUGCUUUACACAUGCAAGUCGAACGGCAGCGCGGGCUUCGGCCUGGCGGCGAGUGGCGAACGGGUGAGUAAUGCAUCGGAACGUGCCCAGUAGUGGGGGAUAGCCCGGCGAAAGCCGGAUUAAUACCGCAUACGACCUGAGGGUGAAAGCGGGGGACCGAAAGGCCUCGCGCUAUUGGAGCGGCCGAUGUCGGAUUAGCUAGUUGGUGGGGUAAAGGCUUACCAAGGCGACGAUCCGUAGCUGGUCUGAGAGGACGACCAGCCACACUGGGACUGAGACACGGCCCAGACUCCUACGGGAGGCAGCAGUGGGGAAUUUUGGACAAUGGGGGCAAGCCUGAUCCAGCCAUGCCGCGUGCGUGAAGAAGGCCUUCGGGUUGUAAACCGCUUUUGUUCGGGAAGAAAUCCUCUGGGCUAAUACCCCGGGGGGAUGACGGUACCGGAAGAAUAAGCACCGGCUAACUACGUG
rnacentral:rRNA from 1 species